UACAGAGGGGGCAAGCGUUGUUCGGAAUUACUGGGCGUAAAGGGCGCGUAGGCGGACAGUUUAGUCAGAGGUGAAAGCCCAGGGCUCAACCUUGGAAUUGCCUUUGAUACUGGCUGUCUUGAGUACGGGAGAGGUGAGUGGAACUCCGAGUGUAGAGGUGAAAUUCGUAGAUAUUCGGAAGAACACCAGUGGCGAAGGCGACUCACUGGCCCGUUACUGACGCUGAGGCGCGAAAGCGUGGGGAGCAAACAGG
rnacentral:rRNA from 1 species